AACUCCGUGCCAGCAGCCGCGGUAAUACGGAGGUGGCUAGCGUUGCUCGGAUUUAUUGGGUGUAAAGGGCAUGUAGGUGUUUUGAUAAGUUUUAGGUGAAAUCCCUCGACUCAAUCGAGGAAGUGCCUAAAAAACUAUCAGGAUUGAGUUCAGGAGAGGAGAGUGGAAUUCCCGGUGUAAGGGUGAAAUCUGUAGAUAUCGGGAGGAACACCAGUGGCGAAAGCGACUCUCUGGUCUGAUACUGACACUGAAAUGCGAAAGCUAAGGGAGCAAACAGGAUUAGAUACCCUGGUAGUCUUAGCUGUAAACGAUGGACACUAGGUGUUGGUCCCUUUAGGGGUCGGUGCCGUAGUUAACACGUUAAGUGUCCCACCUGGGGAGUACGACCGCAAGGUUGAAACUCAAAGGAAUUGACGGGGGUCCGCACAAGCGGUGGUGCAUGUGGUUUAAUUCGAUGCUACGCGAAGAACCUUACCAGGGCUUGACAUCCCGAAAGUAAGAAACUGAAAGGUGGAUGACUCGUUAAAUCGAGAGUCGGGACAGGUGCUGCAUGGCUGUCGUCAGCUCGUGCCGUGAGGUGUUGGGUUAAGUCCCGCAACGAGCGCAACCCUUGUCCUUAGUUGCAAUCCAGUUCUUUCGUAAGAAAAAGCUGGAGCACUCUAAGGAGACUGCCUCGGAUAACGAGGAGGAAGGUGGGGAUGACGUCAAGUCAGUAUGGCCCUUAUGUCCUGGGCUACACACGUGCAACAAUGGCCUGCACAGAAGGACGCUAAGCCGUAAGGUGGAGCAAAUCCCAAAAACAGGCCUAAGUUCAGAUUGAAGGCUGCAAUUCGCCUUCAUGAAGUAGGAAUCGCUAGUAAGCGCGGAUCAGCGAAGCCGCGCUGAAUACGUUCCCGGACCUUGUACACACCGCCCGUCAAGCGAUGGAAG
rnacentral:rRNA from 1 species